CGUAUAAAGAAAGGUCUAUAAAAAGUACAGUUUCGAUUUAACUCCUUUUUUUUUUGACUGUCAUCGAUACUUUAAGCUUGGUAAGGUUUCGGGACGAGAUUAUAUGCAAUGCCUAGAUUGGGUAUCUCGUUGAGUGACAAGAAAACCCCAUUAACCCAAAUGUUAAUUGAUCUCACUGUGCUUUACCGCUAAGUGAAAAGAAAUUGCGAGAGCGUCGGCUUGAAAGAUUACGUCGGAUCAUUACGGACGCAUUCUCGUUUUAAUCAAAUGGAUAAGAAUAAGGUAAAAUUAAAAGUUUUCUCAUCAUCUGGUUCAUCCGGUUCGACCAAUCUCCGUCUUGUGCUUACAGCUCUUGGCUUGAGGGGCUAUGGGUCAUAGGAUCGAUCGCUUUCCGUGGACUUUUUUCUUCUCCUGCUUAAAGAGACUUCUUGGUAUUUUAAUACCGUCAAAUGUUGUGAAUCAAAUUGCCGAAAUGGAUCUAACCACUUGACGAUUAUUCCUUGGAUAAAAAGAAUGUCUCAACGAUGGGUCGACAUGUUCAAUCUAUCUGCCAUUUUGCCAGCGUGUGUCGGGCAGUUCUGUGGUCGCACUAAGCCAACAGACACGACAAGGGGAGUAAUCGGAGGACAUCAAUCAGCGAGAAUCACCCAACAGAUCCCUCUUGAACACAGCACACUGUUCUUCCCGCCUCUUUUUGUGAAUGAGAGGCGUAUCGUCCACCCUGGACUCUGGAAGCAGGAACAUUAGUUCUUUAGACAGUCGAGGGUACGGAUGGACCGGAAG